rnacentral:tRNA from 2 species
UCCUUGAUAGCUUAAUGGUAAAAGCGGUUGGUUGUUAACCAAUGUAUUGUAAGUUCAAGUCUUACUUAAGGAG